rnacentral:rRNA from 1 species
CCACGCCCUAAACGAUGUCAACUAGGUGUUGGGUGGGUAAAACCAUUUAGUACNGUAGCUAACGCGUGAAGUUGACCGCCUGGGGAGUACGGCCGCAAGGUUAAAACUCAAAGGAAUUGACGGGGACCCGCACAAGCGGUGGAUGAUGUGGAUUAAUUCGAUGCAACGCGAAAAACCUUACCUACCCUUGACAUGUUCAGAAUCCCGGAGAGAUUUGGGAGUGCUCGAAAGAGAACUGGAACACAGGUGCUGCAUGGCUGUCGUCAGCUCGUGUCGUGAGAUGUUGGGUUAAGUCUCGCAACGAGCGCAACCCUUGUCAUUAGUUGCUACGAAAGGGCACUCUAAUGAGACUGCCGGUGACAAACCGGAGGAAGGUGGGGAUGACGUCAAGUCCUCAUGGCCCUUAUAGGUGGGGCUACACACGUCAUACAAUGGCCGGUACAAAGGGUAGCCAACCCGCGAGGGGGAGCCAAUCCCAUAAAGCCGGUCGUAGUCCGGAUCGCAGUCUGCAACUCGACUGCGUGAAGUCGGAAUCGCUAGUAAUCGUGGAUCAGCAUGUCACGGUGAAUACGUUCCCGGGUCUUGUACACACCGCCCGUCACACCAUGGGAGCGGGUUCUGCCAGAAGUAGUUAGCCUAACCGCAAGGAGGGCGAUUACCACGGCAGGGUUCGUGACUGGGGUGAAGUNGUAACAAGGUAGCCGUAGGGGAACCUGCGGCUGG